CUGAACUCAGUAGUGUGUCGAU
rnacentral:siRNA from 1 species